ACAGCUCGCUAGCGGAUCUAGUCUGCUGUAUGUAUCUAUGGUGCGCACGUCUGCUAGCGUCUCUGGCUGCUGGAGACCUCGUUUUUGGAGUAAAACACGGUGGAAGCUGAAUUAGUGAGGAUGACUCCUGCUCCUGUCAUCUCUAAGCUCCUCACACAUCUUUACCUGCACAUGAGGAAAAUCACUCCUGUAGAAUGCAGUGGUUCAUCAGAACCUCUGGGGAUGUCCUGUGGAUUCUGUGGAUCCUGUGGGUUGCAGGGUGGGUCCUACCUAGACCAGGCUGAUCCUGGACCAUCCCACAGAUGCUCCAUCAGAUGUGGAUGUGGGGAGUGUGGAACCCAGGUGAACAGCUGAGCUCUGUCGUGUUCCUCGGACCACUCCUGUAGUAGCAGUUUUAAUUUGUCCUGCUGAGGGUGGCAGCUGGCAUCAAGGACUGCUGUUGCCAUGGAGACUAGGGGGUUGUUUGUCGUGCAGUGUUUAGGUGAUGGUACAUGUCAAACAUCCACAUGAACGUCAAGGUUUCCCAGCAGAACGUUGCAUUAGAACAAGAUGAUGGAUGUUGUUCUCUUCAGCUGUCAGUGGUCAGUCUGAGAUAUUAAGAAUAAAUAAAUGUGCAUAAUGUGGAAAUGAACAGAUUUUAUUUUUAUUUAUUCCUACAGCUGCUACAUGGAAAGUUCCAGAAUGUGGAGGAAUUUAGUCUCACAAUCACAGACAAUAAAUAUUAUCUGAAAGUCUGGUGAUUGUUGUUUAUCAGCACAAUACAAAAAGAUUCAUGUUAGAAAUAUUCCAGUUAAGACUCUAGAAUAUCAGGAUUUAUGUAAAUUUACCUCAAUAAUAUGAAUGUUCAGGUUAAGAUUGUACAGUGAUAUUUAUUAUGUAAGUUUAGCUGAUUAACGUUUAUGACUCUGCACUACAAUAUUAUUAUUUAAAUUGACAUCAUUAUUAUAAUAUUUAAGGUCAGACUCUACAGUAUUGAGAUUAAGAAAUCAAAUAUUCUAUAAAAUGUAAAUACACUGAACUAAUCUGGAUAUAUUUAAGUGAGACUCUACAAUAUUAUUUAUGACACAAAUCUAUCUAAAUCAAAAUUUUAAACAUUUUUACUCCAAACAUUGACUGGACUGAUUUAAAUAUUAAAAUCAUUCCUUUCUAAUCCUCUGCUGUACGUUCAAACCUGAGACCUUAAAUAAAAACACACAAGUAUCUGAUUGA
ensembl:lncRNA